GCUUAAUGAGGUUGUUCAUGUGAGAAAUAUAGCUCCCUGCAGCCUUUCGCAUGUAAACACUGUAUUUUCUGGGAUGGAUGAUGGGGAUGGAUAUGGAUGAUGGGAAUGGAUGGAUAUGGAUGAUGGGGAUGGAUGGAUGGAUGAUGGAUAUGGAUGAUGGGAAUGGAAAUGGAUGAUAUGGAUGGAUGAUGGGAAUGGAUAUGGAUGAUGGGGUGGAUAUGGAUGAUGGGGAUGGAUAUGGG